ACAGUGAUGAAUGGCUCUCUGCAGCUUUCUGCCCUGAUGAGGGUGUCUGCACGCUACUGAUUGCAAACACUAAUGAACUUACAGCUCCAUUAGAUAUUCUCUUACUAACAAUGUGUGGGGGGCGUUUGUAUGUUUUGUUGGGGACUGGGGAGGGAAGUUCGGGGUAGUGGUUCUGGUAGUAAUUGCAUUUGGCAAGGGGAAAUACUUCGCCCGUAAAAUUAAACCUUUACUCUUUCUGAGGGGAAAAAAAUACUUUUCUUGAUGUUUCUUAGGGUAAGCACAUUAGGUCAGCUGAGUCACCGGAGAAAGUAGGAGUCUUAAAACGCUGCCUGGAGAAUUGCUUCUAAGUCUGAAGGGUAUAAUUAAGGCUUCACACCCCUGCUGGGCAGAUCCAGCCUUACAGUAGCUCGGGGGAGAGAAAGGGAAAAAAAAAAAAAAAAAAAAGAUCAGCGAUUGCUAAAGCCUGCUGUCCGAAACUCAAUGAGCAGAAAUACACCUUUUGGCCAGUCGGGGGUGGAUUGUAUCUGUGUGUGUACGAGGAUGGAGGUGGUGGGGUGUUUUCUGAGAACUAAUAAGUGAAUACUUAAAAAGCUUGAGAUCGGCAGGUCUACAGAACAAGUGGUCACUGCCACCUCCAACACUGCUUCGUUUUGUAAACCCAAAGCUUGAACAUUUCAUCAAAAGAGACUAUUUAAGGCCAAUUUUAUAGUUUAUCUGAUUUCGAAUAAAACCACCAAAUGCUGACCCUGAAAGUUAGGUAGAGGCAUAUUUUGUUUCCUGUUCUCUGUUGCUACAUUGAUGACCAACUCACAUUAGAGUCCCUUUAGUGGGGUGGGUGUGGGAUUGGACAAACACUUUUCUUUCCCUUUUCUUCCCUCCUCUCCCUUUUCUGCAGACUGUUCACUUGAGGAAGUGUCCAAACUGUCUCAAGUUCACGCAGUCUGGUAGUUUUCAACACCGAGUCACUGUUGCUAUGUGGAACGGUUCGCUGCUUUCCCCCGACUCCAACAUCUGUCACCUUUUCGGUUCAGUAGCUAUGGGCUUGGCCGCCUCUUCAGGCUAGGGAUCGGCCUGGGACUGAGUUAACAGCUUGCUUCCUGCUCCCCUCAGAAAACACUGGGGCUGCACGGUCUGUCACCUCGCCGCCUGACUUUCUGUGCAUGGUUUGCAUGUCAGAGCACUCCUGCGGGUCACCCAGGUAGCAGAUUCUCAGCGGAGUCCAGUAGACAACAUCCCGACUUCCUAAGCAUCCUUUCCCAUGGUGGCAUCUGCUAUAGUAAGCUGGAGUGCCUCUCUGGCGUAGCUGGGGAAGUGUCCGACACUGCAGCUAGCUCACCAUUUCUAUUGCCUUGUCUUGAAGACUCUGAUCAACCUGGCAGUUAAACUCCAGAGAGUGCUGGCAAGUGUGGCCCCGGGACAAUAUUGGGACAAAGCCAGAGCCUUGGGACCCAGUCCUUUCCCGCCUGCCUCCAAAAGAAAAGACUCAGUCAAGCCAGCAAUACUUACCUCUGUGUAACACCCACGUUGAUGGGAACCACUGAGAGAUAGGGCAACUUGCCAAAAAAAAAAAAAAAAAAAAAAAGAUUAGAGAUCUGUGGUCGCUGAGGAAGUCCCCAAGUUCGAGGUACUAAUCAAUGUUGCAGUUAAAAAGUUCUUCCUCAAGGAGCAAGUCAUAGAUAGUAAACAUGUGCCCAACCAGAAUAUAUUGGAACGGAAAUCUUUCCUAUAAAGCCCUCACACAUUGCUUCAGUUUAUUAUUAGUGUUUUUUCCCCCAAUGCCAAAAAUAAAUCAAAUUAUUUUCUUUGGCCGUUGAAUUGUUGCAAAAUUGUAAAGCAAAUAUUCUAAUUUGAUCACUUACAAAGUCAUAAAAUUAAAUGGUUGUUUGUAGUGGGAAAUAUAUCCUUAUUAUUUUAAUUAAAGCAAGAUUGGACGUUACAUCCAUCCAUCUUGGAACCACCAAAUGCAUUGCCUAUCUUGCAAAUCAACCUUUAAAUGGGGUCAUGUCUUUUCACGACAUUAGUUUGUGUUCCACUGCAUAAAUCCCGACUACACGUGAGCUUGACCUUUGGUGAAAAUUAUGUACUCAAGCUCAGGAUAAGUGCUUACUUGAUUUGCUAGAAUUUUAGAAAACACCUUUAAAGUCCACACAGGAUUUUGAAUACAAAAGAAUCUUUUUACAUUUUUCUACAGUUUAUACUAGCUGCUUUUGAUUGAGAUGCAUUUCUGGUUUUAGCGACCACCACAUUGAUCUUCUCCUAAAUCAUGUGACGACACUCAUAAUUAGUCGUUUAUAUGGAGUGCCUUUAAAGUGUAGCAUCUGCUCUAUUAACAAGAUUUAGUAAGGAGUUUGCUAAAGGUUUAAACUCUGUUGAUGGCAAAGAUUUACAAACUUGAAUCUGGACAAAAAUUUUUCAGCAAUAUAGUUUUAGAGAGUUAACCAAAAAGUCCUCCACAUAAAGGAACUUCAAUUUUUCAAGGCACAGUCUACAUUCUAUCUCAUGGGCACAAUAGUAACUCUCCAGACAUAGGAUAAAAUUUUUUCACAGAAUUAAGAUUUUAACUACGCUCACUCCUGUUGCUUCAAGGGGAAAAAAUCCUAAGGCUUAUAUUAAUACACUUAUUAAACUUUUUUUUAUUUUGCCUCUCUCCUUCUUCCCAUAUACUUAUUCCUACACUCUUUUAUUAAAUGUUUGAAAAAAAUUAAUAUAUUACUACAAGACUAGGAUUUUAUUCUAUUAACUAUUAUUAACUAUUUCAACUUACUUUAAUUUCCCUAUAAAUAUUAUUUUAAAAAACCCCAGAAACAAAAUAUGUAAAGUUAGUGGGAAAAGAUUAAAAAAAAGUUUAGGAAACAAAAAGUCAACGAAAUAAACUAAUAAAGCCUGGAAAAUGUACCAGUAAUUCAAAAUUUGGAGAAAGUUGCUUUAAAUUAACACAUUUGGAUACUAAUUGCUUCUUAUGUCAAAUGCCUAAAAUGUUUUAUUAAAGGAAUUCCUCUUGUACAA